rfam:Solanum tuberosum cultivar DM 1-3 516 R44 scf00008_25, whole genome shotgun sequence.
AUGUGGCACUUUUCAGAUUUCGAGAUUCAAACAAGUCUAUCUUUGACCGUAAAUUAUUCAUAGAUCUUUUAAGCAUUUUGAAUUAUCAAUUAUUGUGACUUAUAGUACUUUUUACGUAGUUUACAAAUAUAUAAAUUUUAUUUCAAAAAAAUCGAAGAUUCGAUGCGCAAAUUUCUUGUCAAACUUAAACUGUUUGACUCUCGAAAAACGAAAAGUGCCACAUAA